rnacentral:rRNA from 1 species
GGUCAAGCUAUUAAGGGUAUAUGGGGGAUGUCUUGGCAUUAGAAGGCUAUGAAGGGCGUGAAAGUCUGCGAAAAGCUUGGGGUAGUUGACAAACAAGCGUUGAUCCCAAGAUCCCUGAACCAGCGUGUACUGAAUACAUAGGUACAUUGCAGCGAACCGAGUGAACUGAAACAUCUAAGUAACUCGAGGAAGAGAAAGAAAAAUCGAUUCCGUUAGUAGCGGCGAGCGAAAGCGGAACAGCCCAAACCACUGGGGUUUCCCUGGUGGGGUUGUAGGACUUUGCACAUGAGAGUUAGAAAACUUUAGUUAGAAGAACGACUUGGAAUGGUCGACCACAGAGGGUGACAGUCCCGUAUUUAAAAGCUACAAGUCUCUCGCAGAGCACCUGAGUAGGACCAGUCACGUGAAACCUGGUCUGAAUCUACGGGGACCAUCCCGUAAGGCUAAAUACUCUCUAAUGACCGAUAGUGAACUCAGUAGCGCGAGUGAAAGAUGAAAAGAACCCCGUCUAGGGGAGGGAAAGAACCUGAAACCAUAUACCUACAAGCGGUUGGAGCACUAUGAUUUGUUCAGUGUGACAGCGUGCCUUUUGCAUAAUGAUCCGGCGAGUUGUCGUAUGCGGCUUGGUUAAGGACUUACGGUCCGGAGCCCGAGGGAAACCGAGUGUUAAUAGCGCGAACAAUUGUCGUAUGCGGCAGACGCGAACCCAGGUGAUCUACCCAUGAGCAGGUUGAAGCGCGGGUUAUACUGCGUGGAGGACCGAACCCACUUAGGUUGAAAACUGAGGGGAUGACUUGUGGGGAGGAGUGAAAGUCUAAUCAAACCUGGAGAUAGCUCGUUCUCUGCGAAAUAUCUUUUGGGAUAGCGUCAGGUAAAAUGUGACACGGGGGUAGAGAUACUGAAUUGGAUGGGGGCCCUUCCCGGGGUACCUCACUGAACCAAACUCCGAAUACCGUGUUAUUUACCCUGGCAGUCAGUCCGUGUGGGAUAAGCUGCACGGUCGAAAGGGAAACAACCCAGACCAUCGUCUAAGGUCCCGAAGUAAUGCUCAGUCACUAAGGAAGUUAGUUUGCUGAGACAGCCAGGAUGUUGGCUUAGAAGCAGCCACCAUUUAAAAAGUGCGUAACAGCUUACUGGUCGAGCAGGCUUGCGCCGAUAAUGAACGGGAGUAAGCAUUACACCGAAGACAUGGGUUUACACUAUGUGUAAGCGGUAGCAGAGCGCUGUACAGGAGAUACAAGCCCAACGGUAACGAUGGGUCUCGGUCUGUACAGGUGAUUAUGCCGGAAUGAGUAACGAUAAAACAGGUGAGAAUCCUGUUCGCCGAAAGCCUAAGGUUUCCUGGGGAAGGUAAAUCCGCCCAGGGUUAGGCAGUACCUUAGUCGAGGCCGAAAGGCGUAGACGAUGGAUAGCAGGUUAAUAUUCCUGCCCCAACUUGUGGAGCGAUGGAGGGACGGCAACCAGAAUACGUGCGGACGAAUAGAAAUGUCCGUGGAGUUCAUUGAGAUGGAGGGAUUGGAAAAUCCACCCUCAUAAUUCAAGAUGUUCGACCAACUGCCUUGAGCGGGAUUGCGUUGGAAGGUUGUCCAAGAAAAGCUUCUAAGUGUUGAAGCAAGUUGACUGUACUAAAACUGACACAGGUAGGCGGGUCGAGUAGACUAAGGCGCUCGGGAGAACGGUGGUUAAGGAACUCUGCAAAAUGGCCCCGUAAGUUCGCGAUAAGGGGUGCCCCUGGCGGUUAACGCUGCUGGGGGCCACAGUAAAUCGGCUCCUUCGACUGUUUAUCAAAAACACAGGUCUCUGCGAACACGUAAGUGGAUGUAUAGAGACUGACGCCUGCCCGGUGUUGGUAGGUUAAGGAAGACGGUUAGCCCUCGGGUGAAGCUGGCGACCGAAGCCCCAAUAAACGGCGGCCGUAACUAUGACGGUCCUAAGGUAGAAUUUUCUGCCCUCUGGUCUGGUGACAGAUCAGGUUGCACUUUGCUAUAUGCUGGAAACUCUGAGUAUCCGACAGUACUCGCUUUCGAAUCUCGAAAGCAGUGAAAAUCUGUUCGGUGCAGACAAUCAGCAGGAAACCAUUUUAUCAUUUGAGAUUUAUCUCACUUGAGAUUGAUGGGCUCCUCAGAGACUAAACGCAAAGCAUCUCGUUGCUGUGAAGAUCAAAGGUUAACUUUCUUUGAUUGGCAAUUGAGUUGAAGAUAUAGUCCGAGCUGCAUGGCGACAUGCAGAGGUUAACAGAAAUGUUAGUCCGCCGAUCGCAAACCUAAAUCUCUGGUUUGCAAAUGUUUUCUUUGAAAACAUGCAUGUUUCUUAGCUUAUUCAUUGGGUCUAGUUUUAUGACUAGGCCAGCAUCAACAAGUGUAUUUAUAUGUUUGUUAAUGCGGUUUGGAUCUUGGCUAGAUCCGGUUAGUAGUGCUAAAGCUUUCAUGUGACUUCGGUAGUAACAUACUGAGCGAAGUUCCUUGUCGGGUAAGUUCCGACCUGCAUGAAAGGCGUAACGAGAGGAGCACUGUCUCAACCACCGACCCGGUGAAAUUGUAGUCGUGGUGAAGAUGCCACGUACCCGCGGUUAGACGGAAAGACCCCGUGAACCUUUACUGUAGGCAGAUAUUGGGCUGAGUUAUGUUUUGUGUAGGAUAGGUGGGAGACUUUGAUCCCGGCACGCCAGUGUCGGGGGAGUCGUCCUUGAAAUACCACCCUGAAUAUGAUUUAGUUCUAACUCUGACCCUUGAAUCAGGGCAGAGGACAGUUUCUGUUGGGCAGUUUGACUGGGGCGGUCUCCUCCCAAAGAGUAACGGAGGAGUUCAAAGGUACACUCAGCCUGGUUGGCAAUCAGGCGUCGAGCGCAAAGGUAGAAGUGUGCUUAACUGCGAGAGACAUAACUCGAGCAGAUACGAAAGUAGGACUUAGUGAUCCUGUGGUUCCGAAUGGAAGGGCCAUAGCUCAUCAGAUAAAAGGUACUCCGGGGAUAACAGGCUUAUCGCAUCCGAGCGUCCAUAGCGGCGAUGCGGUUUGGCACCUCGAUGUCGGCUCAUCACAUCCUGGGGGUGAAGAAGCUCCCAAGGGUUUGGCUGUUCGCCAAUGAAAGUGGUACGUGAGCUGGGUUCAGACCGUCGUGAGACAGGUCGGUCCCUAUCUGCCGUGGGCGUACGAAACUUGAGGAGGUUCUUCUUUAGUACGAGAGGAUUUGGAAGGACGAAUCUCUGGUGUUCCAGUUGUCACGCUAGUGGCAUGGCUGGAUAGCUAUAUUCGGAAAAGAUAAACGCUGAAAGCAUCUAAGCGUGAAGCUCUCUCCAAGAUUAGGUUUCGUUGUAGCUUGCUACGAGAGUCCCCUGGAAGACUACCAGGUUGAUAGGCCAUAUGUGUAAGUGCAGUAAUGUAUUCAGCUAAAUGGUACUAACGGACGAAAGCUUGACCAC